rnacentral:rRNA from 1 species
AUUGAACGCUGGCGGCAGGCCUAACACAUGCAAGUCGAGCGGAUGAAGGGAGCUUUCGCCUGGUUUCAGCGGCGGACGGGUGAGUGAUGCCUAUGAAUCUGCCGGGUAGGGGUGGAGAACGUCCUGAGACGGGCGCUAAUACCACAUACGACGUGAGGGAGAAAGUGGGGGAGGUUCGGACCGCACGCGAUCAGAGGAGCGUAGGUCGGAUUAGCUAGUUGGUGGGGUGAGGGCCGACCAAGGCGAGGAUCCGUAACUGGUCGGAGUGGCUGGUCAGUCGCCCUGGAACUUAGACACGGUCCAGAGUCCUGCGGGAGGGCCCAGUGUGCAAUGUUGGACAAUGGGCGGAAGUCUGGUACAGCCAUGCCGCGCGUGUGAAGAAGGUCUUCCGAUUGUAAAGCACUUUAAGUUGGGAGGAAGGGCAGUAAGUUAAUACCUUGCUGUUUUGACGUUACCAACAGAAUAAGCACCGGCUAACUUCGUG